rnacentral:rRNA from 1 species
CAUAGCGACUAUCGUGGCAUAUCAAUAAGCGGAGGAAAAGAAACUAACAAGGAUUCCCUUAGUAACGGCGAGUGAAGCGGGAAGAGCUCAAAUUUGAAAUCUUCAAGGUUUGACCUUGACGAAUUGUAGUUUAAAGAAGUGUUUUCGGUUAGAGGAGUAGUAAAAGUUCUUUGGAAUAGGACAUCAUAGAGGGUGAGAAUCCCGUAUUUGACUAUUCUUUCUAGCUUUGUGAUACACUUUCAAAGAGUCGGAUUGUUUGGGAAUGCAGUCCAAAAUGGGUGGUAAAUUUCAUCUAAAGCUAAAUAUUGGCGAGAGACCGAUAGCGAACAAGUACCGUGAGGGAAAGAUGAAAAGAACUUUGAAAAGAGAGUUAAACAGUACGUGAAAUUGUCAAAAGGGAAGCGUUUGACACCAGUGUUGUUUUUCCGAAAAUCAAUUAAAAAUUGAUUCAUGCCAGGUUGUAUUGACCUUAUCAGCUUGCAAUUUGGUUUUGGGUCUCUUUUUGAUGCACUUUUCGGUUAACAAGUCAACAUCAAUUUCCUUUGCUGUAAAAAGGUAAGAGGAAGGUGGCUUCAAUUUCGGUUGAAGUGUUUAUAGCCUUUUAUCUCUGCAGUCGGGGAGAUUGAGGUCUGCAGCGUAGAUCCUUCGGGGCUAGAUACAUUUAUGCUAAGUUAUAGCUCUUCAUAGACAACUUGUUGACUAUGUUUAGUCAUGUAGCUUACUCGUAAGUGCUAUUUUACCUACGCUUAGGAUGUUGAUAGUCACAGCGUGUAC